UACGUAGGGAGCAAGCGUUGUCCGGAAUCAUUGGGCGUAAAGCGCGCGUAGGUGGCCUCAUAAGUCCGCUGUGAAAGUCAAAGGCUCAACCUUUGAAAGCCGGUGGAUACUGUGGGGCUAGAGUACGGAAGGGGCGAGCGGAAUUCCUGGUGUAGCGGUGGAAUGCGCAGAUAUCAGGAGGAACACCAAUAGCGAAGGCAGCUCACUGGGACGUUACUGACACUGAGGCGCGAAAGCGUGGGGAGCGAACAGG
rnacentral:rRNA from 1 species